GAUGAACGCUGGCUGCGUGCCUAAUACAUGCAAGUCGAGCGAACAGAUAAGGAGCUUGCUCCUUUGACGUUAGCGGCGGACGGGUGAGUAACACGUGGGUAACCUACCUAUAAGACUGGAAUAACUCCGGGAAACCGGGGCUAAUGCCGGAUAACAUUUAGAACCGCAUGGUUCUAAAGUGAAAGAUGGUUUUGCUAUCACUUAUAGAUGGACCCGCGCCGUAUUAGCUAGUUGGUAAGGUAACGGCUUACCAAGGCAACGAUACGUAGCCGACCUGAGAGGGUGAUCGGCCACACUGGAACUGAGACACGGUCCAGACUCCUACGGGAGGCAGCAGUAGGGAAUCUUCCGCAAUGGGCGAAAGCCUGACGGAGCAACGCCGCGUGAGUGAUGAAGGUCUUCGGAUCGUAAAACUCUGUUAUUAGGGAAGAACAAAUGUGUAAGUAACUGUGCACGUCUUGACGGUACCUAAUCAGAAAGCCACGGCUAACUACGUG
rnacentral:rRNA from 1 species